rnacentral:tRNA from 1 species
GCUGUAGCUCAGCUGGUCAGAGCGCCGGCUUGUGGUGCCGGAUGUCGUGGGUUCAAAUCCCAUCAG